rnacentral:rRNA from 2 species
AAAUCGUACCCCAAACCGACACAGGUGGUCAGGUAGAGAAUACCAAGGCGCUUGAGAGAACUCGGGUGAAGGAACUAGGCAAAAUGGUGCCGUAACUUCGGGAGAAGGCACGCUGGUGUGUAGGUGAAGUCCCUGCGGAUGGAGCUGAGACCAGUCGAAGAUACCAGCUGGCUGCAACUGUUUAUUAAAAACACAGCACUGUGCAAACACGAAAGUGGACGUAUACGGUGUGACGCCUGCCCGGUGCCGGAAGGUUAAUUGAUGGGGUUAUCCGUAAGGAGAAGCUCUUGAUCGAAGCCCCGGUAAACGGCGGCCGUAACUAUAACGGUCCUAAGGUAGCGAAAUUCCUUGUCGGGUAAGUUCCGACCUGCACGAAUGGCGUAAUGAUGGCCAGGCUGUCUCCACCCGAGACUCAGUGAAAUUGAACUCGCUGUGAAGAUGCAGUGUACCCGCGGCAAGACGGAAAGACCCCGUGAACCUUUACUAUAGCUUGACACUGAACAUUGAGCCUUGAUGUGUAGGAUAGGUGGGAGGCUUUGAAGCGUGGACGCCAGUCUGCGUGGAGCCAACCUUGAAAUACCACCCUUUAAUGUUUGAUGUUCUAACGUUGGCCCCUGACCGGGGUUGCGGACAGUGUCUGGUGGGUAGUUUGACUGGGGCGGUCUCCUCCCAAAGCGUAACGGAGGAGCACGAAGGUUAGCUAAUCCUGGUCGGACAUCAGGAGGUUAGUGCAAUGGCAUAAGCUAGCUUGACUGCGAGCGUGACGGCGCGAGCAGGUGCGAAAGCAGGUCAUAGUGAUCCGGUGGUUCUGAAUGGAAGGGCCAUCGCUCAACGGAUAAAAGGUACUCCGGGGAUAACAGGCUGAUACCGCCCAAGAGUUCAUAUCGACGGCGGUGUUUGGCACCUCGAUGUCGGCUCAUCACAUCCUGGGGCUGAAGUAGGUCCCAAGGGUAUGGCUGUUCGCCAUUUAAAGUGGUACGCGAGCUGGGUUUAGAACGUCGUGAGACAGUUCGGUCCCUAUCUGCCGUGGGCGCUGGAGAAUUGAGGGGGGCUGCUCCUAGUACGAGAGGACCGGAGUGGACGCAUCACUGGUGUUCGGGUUGUCAUGCCAAUGGCACUGCCCGGUAGCUAAAUGCGGAAGAGAUAAGUGCUGAAAGCAUCUAAGCACGAAACUUGCCCCGAGAUGAGUUCUCCCUGAGACUAUAAGUCUCCUGAAGGAACGUUGAAGACGACGACGUUGAUAGGCCGGGUGUGUAAGCGCAGCGAUGCGUUGAGCUAACCGGUACUAAUGAACCGUGAGGCUUAACCUU